rnacentral:rRNA from 1 species
AUGGGUGGCUGGAAGGCUAGACACAUCGCACUGCCGGGCCUUGUUGAGCGCGUGCGCGCCACGCUCUCAGCCAUGGUCAUAUUCCAGCUCAUGGCUUUGGAUCCUCCGGUUUGGUUGGUAAAAAAAGUGGACAAGCUUCGCCGUGGUUUUCUCUGGGCGCAGGACGAGGAGGUAACGGCUGGUAAAUGCCUGGUGAACUGGUCAGCAGUGUGCCGC